UGGCCAUGGUGCAUAGCUCAGAGCCGGAAAGCAAACAGCUGCUGUAGCCUGAUUUGAGUUAAAAUAGUGUCAGUGUUUAGUCUGGCGCACUGCUUCAGGAGAGAUUGGCAGCUGGGUCAAACAAAGUCAUUCCAUUGGCUCCUUUCCCAGUGAGCUUCUGCUAGUAUUUAGCUGACGCAUCCUGCUCUCAACGUGGUGUAGAAAGCAGUCUGUUACAGUGCUGGAUUAAUAAAAGGGGCCUUUAUGGGUUGUGAAAGAAUAUCUCUGUGCUUAGGCAGGAAACUUUUUGAUCCACAGAAAACCCUGACGACAUCUAGGUCUCCAAAGAGGUCUAACAGUGUGAAAAAUAGUUGGCUGUCCCGUGCAAAAGAAGCUUGUUUUCAUAAAUUCUUCAGCAGCCUGUGCAUUGUGAUGAACUGUACAGUGAUCAGAAAAUUUAAAACAGAAUGGAAAAUGAAGAAGUUGUUAAUAACAGAAAUCAACAAAGCCGAAGCAUUUCCCGAAGAGCACUGAGUUUUCUAUACCAGAUUCUACUUCAGUGGCCAGGACCUUUAUGGCCGCUGAUCCUGUUUGGCUCUGGGUUCUGAUGAGAAAACACCGUGGAUCCAGCCCUAAAGUAGAAAUUUUCUUUUUUCAUUCUGCAAGCAAGGCUAAACCUCGGAGAGGAGAAUGAAUGUGAAUGCAGUUCGAGAUUAUGGUCGUGUCAUUAAAAGUGUUCGGCUUCCGAGCAAAAUGGGAAAUCCGAUCAGUUGAUCUUCCUGUACCAACAAUAUUUAAAAGUUGUAUGUGGUUCGAGUGACCUGGCUCGAGCAACAGCAAUCUCUGUAUGUCAAUAUUUUCUGCGGUUUAUGGAGUGAAAAGUAGUUGCUGGGUUGGAAAGGAAGAAGCUGCUAAUCUCAGCCUGUAGAAGGAUUAAAUGUUGAAUAUGGGGAAAAGGCAAAAAAAGUAAAUAUCUGCCUGAAGGCUAUCGUGGCACUGAAGAUGAGUUUAAAGUGCUGUCUAUCCUAGGGCCCACCUUAACAGCAAGACUAAACAUAUAAUGGGGGAAUAUUUAAAUUAGAAACCCAUUAACAAGCAUUUAAUCCUUCUUUAAGGCAGUAGAGGAAAUAAUAUAAAACUGUUAUUGUACAAAUCUAUUAGAAGCAGAUUUUAACUCGUAUUUAGGCUCUUCUUUUUCAAGUAUUUAAUAUAGCUACUCAGGAAUCAGGAUAGUGAACAUUUUUCCUGUACUCUCCCCUUCCUCUCCCCCAGAGUCAUGGCAUAUAUUCUAAGAAACAUUUUAGUCAAUCAAAUUAUGUAUUGUUUUCAAUGUAUGUGCAUAUAUUGCCUGCUUGUUUGAUAUUUUCUGCCCCUACUUGGAAAUGUGUUUAACUUUUUUCAAAAUAGCAGGGGGAAAAAAAGAGUUUUACUGAAUGCAAUCGUGACGAUACAGAUUAUUUGAAGAAGGAUUCUACUGGAUCACAUUGGACUUUUCCUAGUCCCUGAGACCCUAACUUGUGAGGUUUUUUAGCAACAAUCACAAGUCAGGCUCUUGGGACCUAGGCGGAGGGGAACCAGCAGCUUUGGACUUAUUGAUUGUUUUUCUGCGAUAUUAAGAGAACCAAAGGAAACAUUCCUGUCCAGGGGAAUUAUUAAUUUCAUAUGUUAAGAACUAUUACUAAACAAAAAUAUUCUUAUCCACUGUACCCGAUAAAGUGGUUAUAUGAAGAUGCUACAUAUUUGCAUGUUUGGAAACCUGUUUUGUACAGGACAUUGUGUAAAAUCUGGAAUUAAAAUUUAAAACAAAUGCUAGAUACGUACAUGAAAAGCCAAGUACUGAAAAAUACGUGAAGUAUUUCCAACCAUGUUUCUGCUAUUACGGAUGAUACACAUAGAUAAUUAAGAUGAAGCACAUGUCCAGUUGUACUGCUAUAGUAUUUGAUUUACUCUUUAAAUCAGACAAUUUGAACACUGAUGCAUGAGGCCUAGCACACCAUACAUUCUGGGGUACAGAGAUAUGAACAGACAAGAAAACUGUUGCUUAGUUUUCCCUGUAACCCAAUACAGAGAUUCCUCUAUAGUUAGCUGUCAUUACUCCUUGUCUAAGCAAAAACACAAUAUGAAAUUAUGAAGGGUCACACUUACUUGAAACCACUUUUUAAUAUGAUAAGAAAAUUGAUAGGUAGUGUCAAGUUCAUAACACACUAUUGAAAUCACUUGGAACACAAGGCUAUUUACUCUUGAUGUUGAUGUACUUAUCCUAUCUAAACCAUGAAAGCAGUAUACCAUUUAUUGGAUUCAACAUCUAGUCUCUUCCUUCACUUUUCACCUUUAUUCAGUUAUAGAAACAGAAUGACUUUUAUGUUGUCCCCAGAUGCAAAAUACUUCUGUGACCGAAGUACACAAAGAUUUGGAAGGACAAGAUACUUUGUAACGUUUAUCGGUCCCUCAAAGUGCUGAAGUAUUAAGUUCCAAUGAAUCACUUUGUUUCCUGUAUCUAACCCAACAUGCUGCAGCACCUUGUAGAUGGUGUGCUAAUAUCAAACCUCACUGAUUUAAAACAAAGGCUUUACACAGCACAAGCAUCUAAACAAUUUGUUCAUUUCAAAAGCAGUAUUUUGGCUUGAGUUAAUUUUUUUCCACACAUGUAGGAGGAAUUGUGCAUUAUUGUAAGUGCCAACCCUUUGUUAAAAUAAAUUAUUCUUACGUGUUAGCA
ensembl:lncRNA